ACGGCCGGGCGCUGGCAGGCUAUCUUCCUGCACAGGUAGUGCACGACGAGCUCCUCGUCGGUGGGGUGGAACCGGAACCCCGGUGGCAGGUUGAGCUCGGCCUCAGCAUCUCUCUUCCUUCCCAUCCUCGUGUCUCCUGGGAAUGGAUGGGUCGCAGCAACCACGUGUAGGAUCCGGGAAGCUUCGCGUGAGGCGGCCGACUGCAUUGGUCAAGGUGGCGAAGACCAACGUGCUGUUGCCCGCAGACACCUACCCAUGCUGGAACCAAUCCGUUCAGUUCAGGUAAAUUUACAUAUUAAUGCAUAAUUCAUAUUAUAUUAUAUUCAUUUAUGCAUAAUUCACCUUAAUGCUCUAUAUUUUGAUUUCAUUUCUGUGUUUUCAUCGUUUCAUAUCAAAUUUGUUUUUUUGCUACAUUUAGUAUGAAUUUUCAUGUAUAAAUUGCAUGAAGACAAGAUGGAAUUUGGAGUUGAAGGGACUAGCACUGUUAAUUACGCAGCCGUUGUGCAAGGAGGGGGGGAUUCACGACGUGAAUAUGUACGUCUGUCUCCCUCGCUCAGAACCCUUCAGCUCACGUAAGGGAUCAGGAUCGACAACGAGCUAGGGUUUCAUGGAGAACAUGGAAUGAUGACACAUGGAUCCAUUGGACCUGGAGAUGGCGAAAAGAGACAAGGAAGUGGAAAGGUGACACAGUUACGGGGUUCGUGAUGAGUAUAUCCCCAGUUAAAACCUUGCGAGGCGGUGCCAUCACCCGUUAGGGGGUUUCUGGAUGUCACUGUCGAGACGCCCUAUCGCCAUGCCCGUGCAUUGCAUCUGGGCGCCUUUCAUUUCCGGACGGUACGUCUCUUUCUUGUCCACCAAGCAAAGCCACUCUUGCAUUAUGCAUCGCAUAAUUCUUUGAUUAGUUAGGUACUUUAGAUGAUGAAUCAUAUGGGCCCAGUCACUAGUGUCGAAAGGAACACAAAGUCAUACGACCGGGGAUUAAUGCGGCGGCUGUAGAAAAUUCUCGGCCGACGCCAAGGAUUCCGAUGCGAGAAAACCUUGGGUAAAAGGGCAUGACCUCGGAGCAGUCGAGUCCUUUUCGUUGACGCUUUCAUUUCUGUCACGUGUGGGUUGAUUUUGACAACCUGUAUUCACACCACUUUUUUUAUUCGAUUUUAGAACAUCGGACAGCAAAUUACUUGUUGGUCACGUGUCCUCUGAGUAUAGAAGAAAGGAAAAGGUCUCCCCUUUCUCUUUCUUAAAGGAAAAAGAAAGAAGCCAACGUUGUACUUUGGAGAGUUUUUUUUUUAAAUAUAAAAUAUUCACAUUCUAGAUAUUUCUCGUAUCUUCUAUUUUACUUUUUCUCAAAUAAUAUUUUUUUUUAUCUGUUACAAUAUAAAUAAUAUCACGUAUAGUGUCUUUCUAAUAAUGUUUACAAUGUUUUCAACAGUCAAUAAAACAUUGUAAACGUUAUUGGAAAACAUUAUAAACAAGUCAAAUAAAAAAUAUAAUAAUAAUUAAAAAUAGAUAAAAAUAAUAAUAAAAAUAAAAAUAAAACAUUGUAAACUUAUAGUGUUGUUUUUCCCUUCAUAUUGAUAAUUUUCGAUGGCAUACUUGUCUAAACACGUGGGUGGACCACGUGAUGUGGCCGUCCCACAGGAGCGUCGCUGUUUGAGUUCAGCCAUUGGAUGGAUUACGCGAGCGAUAGCAGAUCGUGAUGACAAUGUUUCACGACGAAUAGUUUGUGUGUCCUUAUCAAUGUGUUGGCUUUAAUUGCUUUGGUCAAAUGACAGCACCAACGCGUCGCAUCAAAUUGGUUCGUGUCGGGCCGAGAUGUUGAAUCUGGCCCAUUUGGAUUUGAUCGUUUGCAGCGCCGUUCACAUUUGAGCUACUUGAUGAUCUUUGUCUUGUUAAGAUCUUAAAUAGGAUGAUUAGCUAAAUAAGAUUUUAGUGGGAAUUCAAUUAAAGGUGUAACUCCUUUUUUCCCCCCUUAAUUUUUUGAAAAUUAAGAUAUUUUUUUUAUUAGUCAUCUUCUUUUUUUUAACAUGAAUAAUGCUGCACAUUUAUCGUGCUUAUAAUCAUCUGACUUAAACAAGUCAGAUCAUGUUAAAUCAAUCAAGGAUGACAGCAUUAAUGUCUUAUCAUAUGUGAAGCAUGAUUGUUGAAUUUAUUUGAUGAAGUGCUCCUCAACGCUUCUUACGUGCAACACAUUCAGAUCAUUCAUCCUAUAUUCCUCAUAAAAUACGAGAUGUCAUCAUCAAAGCUGACCAAAUUUAGAUCACUGGGAUAAUUUUCCCCAAACAUGAUCAUGAUUUAUUCAUCAAGGUGGUAUCUUUGACAUGCCCCCACCCUCACUGCCAAGUCAUGGUGGUGCCAAGAAAUGCCACAUAUACCAAGGUUGUAGAGGAAGGCUUGGUAGGUGGGACAGUGUUUGUGAUGGAUGACCUGAUUAAGAAGAAACGAUUUGCCACCUACUACUACUACUACUACGAGAGAGAUUCUACCCCACUAAGCCGGUGGAUGGUACACUCGGAGCCAAGCCCCCUUCUGCCUCCGCCGUCCAUGUGGUUGGUCACAGCUUCGCUGCAUUCCCACCAAUGUUAAGAUUGACGUUGGUGAGGACAAGACAAGUGGGAUUGGCAUCCAAUUAGCCUCCGACUGGUGGUAGCGGUCUAUGAAACGUAGUCAUCCAAGAUGAUUUGUUCUUGGCAGAAGAGUUUGAGACCAAGAUUUGUCCUCGGAAUGUGAUUGCUGUGACAGGAGAUGGUCCAUAGAUGUAGGUUUUGGCUGAUAAAUGUGAUUGUAAUGUGUUGCUAUAUCCCAGCUCAGAUCUUUGUCAUGGCAUUUAACACUUGGUGAGAAUGAUCAUGAGGUGAGCUCUUGAUAUGAAUGAUCUAAGUGGACGUCGGUAAGAUUUCCAAGUCUUCUAUGAUAAAGCUGAAAACAAGAUUUAGUGUUGCCACUUAUAUCUCCUUCGUUCGACGCUGGAUGCUGCGGUCAAGACAGUGUCCAAUGACUUGCUUCAUAAACAAUGACAGCGGCCAAAUUUACCGACUUUUCAGGAGAGAAGAGUCGUCAAGGGAUUAGGAUAUUUUCCUACCAAAUUUAGAGCAGGCAUUCAUGGUGGUGCUCAUGCAUGUCAAUCAAUCUGUGGCAGAAUGCACAUUCAUUUGCUAACAAAGCAUGUUAAUGCAACUUUUAAGUGUAGAAAGUCUAGAAACAAUUUCUGUGUCAGCAGUGUUUUCUAGUCUGAAGUGUUAUAGUGGCCCUCUAAAGCUGCCAUGCUUACUUAACAUUGAUUGCUGGGGGAGCUUUCGAGUCACUGCUGUAGCCUUUGACUUCCUGCAAGCAGAUCUAAAUUGUCAGUCGUGCCUAUCCAUUUCAACCUUCUACUCUUUAACUUAGACGAUGUCAUGACUGCAACUUGCAAGACACGGCCACAAAUAAAAGUAGGACCGAAGCCAUGAGGUUCUUUAGAUGCAUACACACUUGCUGAAACUUUUAUGGGGGCUUCUAAGCUUUUCUCUGGGAAUAGAUAAAGACGACCUUUUCUUUUUGGUCGGCAUAAUUUGUCAA